ensembl:lncRNA
AUGAUUUUAUUUGUGUCUCAUCCCUGGAGUAAGAAAGACCAUGUAAUCAGAAACCGUUGGCGCCGGAAGAGACCCUCCCAAGGUCCUGAGGACCAGACUCUCAUUCCAAGUUUGCUUCUCUUUGGAAAGGCUGUGUCGGCUCUGUGCUGCAGCGCGCAGCCUCUUCCACUGCGGCCGUGGGCCUCUCUCGGCUUGUGGUGCACAGGCUGCGCUGCCCCACGGCGUGCAGAAUCUUAGUUCCUGGGCCAGGGACUGGACACGUGUCCCCUGCAUUGGACAGUGGAUUCCUAAUAACUGAACCACCAGAGAAGUCCCUCGAUAAAUAGGUGAGUAGCCUUGUAUCUUCUUGUUCCUUGGGUUAGCAAAUAUCUACUUCUGAGAUGCCUAUAGAUUUAUCAGGGAGGAUUGUAAAGCCUACCACAGGACCAUCAAGGCCUCCUCAUUAGCAAAGCCAUUGUUUAUGUUGAGCCGCUAGAUAUCACUCUAGACCACCGAGAAUUUCAAGUGUAUAUAUUCUUAAAAAUAGUGUUUCCUCUUGCUAGUGUGAAAAAGGAUUCAUAGAGUCUUCAACUGUAUAGAACUAAUGGACAUUCUCUCUUUAUUUUUAUUCUAUGUGGUGUUUUAAAUAAAGGAUGUGAAUUUGCUUUGUUUCUAAAAACA